AAGGUUGCAUAUCAUUGGUGAAGGACGAAAGGCAAGCUGUGCGCAUUAUUGGACAUCAAAGCGCGAUGCUGGAGCCUUGAUCUACAGGAAUAGAAACAAGCCUUGCCUAGCACUGAGACCUUAAACCCUCCAAGGAACCAUCCAAGCUGGGCAACACCCCUGAAUUCACUAGGAGGGCAGAGGCAAAUCCCAUCCAAACAAGGAAGGGGAGGAAGACGCAUUGCAAAAUUAUGGCUGGGUCACGUGAGUCAAGAAUACAUGCACAGAUACAUUUUUGACUGGAAGGUCCAGCUCAGAAAUGUGAUGCCUGCAUUUUAGUGCUUAUGCACUCUUCCUGGAAGAGAGAACUUGAAAAACAUGAACAGAAAAAACGCCUGGUAAAAGUCGUAACCGGCUCUGACUGUCCAUGGUAUAACAGCCAACAAAUAUCACCUGCUGAUGAUUUACAGAUUCCUGGGAGAUGUGGUGUUGAGUUCUCAAAGAACUGGAAUAAGAACAACUCACCCAAUAUGCUUCUCGGCAAACAGUGUAAUGUAUCCACCCGCUUCAUGCUCUCCUAAUUUAGGACAUGUGUAGUGUGUAACGAUGAACUGGCCAACUGGUCAUGUUCCUGUAAAUCUCAUUCCCCACCUUGCAAAACACCCUUGAUUGACCCCUUCUUUCACGAAAGCUCAGCCCAAGGUUUCUAAUCCACCUCUUGGGAGGGAGACACAUCACCCUGUUCGCGAACGCACUUCUCCAGAGAGAAAAAUGCAAUGUUUUGUUGUUUUUAUUUCAUUGGGCAGCCUUUUCAAGUUCUGUGACCCACUUUUGCUUCCCUUUAAACUGUAACCAGUAUUUAUUUAUCCCUUUUUAAACACAAUAAUUUAAUUAAGAAACUAAUCAGCAGUGUUGAGAUGAUCUUUGAACUACACCCCUAUCACUGAAGGAUAUUUAUGAAUGCAUUACACAAGAAAGAUCCUAUUAUCUAAAAAGCUUUCUACUAAAAGGAUUUGGCAUCUGAAAAGUAAGACUUGAAAUUCUGUGCUAAAUUUAUAAUGUAGAGAUGUGAACAUUAUUUAUAGAGUCUGAAAGGUAUUCCAACUGAAUCUGACAAGUUUGCCUGGAUUGUUUACUAAAAAUAAAACUGUUUCAAGUUCAAAGGAUUUCAGAAGUGAGUUGGAUAUUUAGGAGUCCAAAGGACAGAUUGUAAAGGUAGCUGUGUAGCAGAUAGAGGUUUAAUGAUCUAGGCUGCCUCUUCAGUCAGUGGAGAGAGAUUGGCAUUUUCCAGUUAUGUUCCAUUUUCUUAGGCACUUAUCUUCAGAUGGGAAUUUAUUGGCUGAUCAUCUCAGCAGGGCAUUAACAGGGCAUCUGUAGUUAAUCAUUAUCAUCAUUGGCCAAUUCCAGUUCCCUCAGCUUCAGAUCAAGAGAAGGUUUCUGAAAGCUACCUGGGAUGUAGGCACUUUGGGCAGAAAGUGACUAGAUCCAAAAAAGAGAAUCCCACCUGUGCAGUCUUGUUCAGCCCUAGGAACUGAGCUGUUGCUGGUUGUGUAACAGGACAGAUUCAACAGGACUAUCUCCUCCCCACCAGCCGUGUGCUAAGCGAACAUCAGCACUAGAGGACCUAAUUCAUAAGUCCCAAAUGGCUUCUGGGGUAUGAAGGCUCCAGGACAUUUGGCCCAACAUAGUCAAGACAGCAGAAGAAUUAAAGGUGCCCCAGUGAGUGGUCUGGAGGAGGACCCAGUGGUUAGGGGAGGGACAGAAGAUCACUUACUUGCUGUCAGGCCUCUGUGCUCCAUCUGAGUGGCACUGUGGGCACCUAACUGGAGACUUAGAUCCAGUCCUUUGUCCUCUAUGGGCUUGAACUGACAGGUGGAGGUAACCAAUUGGUUCUAUCCAAAUGCAGGGCUGGAGUCAGGGUCUGAUAGGUGGAAUUAAUGAGCGGCACAUGUGAAGCCUGGUUUUCUAUGGCUUUGGAUCUUGUGAUGGAAUUAUCCUGUGUCUAAGAAGAAAUGCAAGGGAAGAUGGCGCUGUGCUGGAAGAGUCUGAUGGAACCUUGGAUAUUUGAACAGCUUCAGCCGCAGGAGAUGAAGCUUAAUUUCCCAUGUGCAUGUAUUUUUAAUUCUUAUGGAUCACUGUAGCAAAACACCAUGCUGUAUGUAGUAUGUACGGCAGUGUACGGCACGCAAACUUUUCUGAGCUGGAAAUUACUUGCUUGUUGACACACCGAAGUCAAACUUGGGUAUUAAUACAGAGGUAUUACACGUCUAAAUUUAAUCUCAAUUGUAAGGUAAUUGUAGUAGUACUUAAUUGGCCAUUACAAAAGGGACCAGAACCCAAAUAUUCCAAUACCAGGAGAGAGUCCUUGCUACCAAAUGUAGAGUUGCUUUCUUUUCUCAUACAGGAUCAGUGAAUAUGCGGUAGGCAAACAAUUUCAGUGCAGGUAGGAUCAUAGGAUAAUUCAGGCUGGAAAACAUCUCAGGAGGUCUCUAGUCCAACGUCCUGCUCUAAGCGGGAUCAGCCAUGAGACGAGACCAGGUUGCUCAGGGAUUUAUCUAGGUGGGCCUUGAAAACCUCCAAGGAGGCUGCACAACCUUUGGGCAACCCUGAUUUUCCUCGGGGGGUGGGGGGAUGGAAUAAAUAUCCAUAUAGCCAGUAUGAACUUCUCUUGUUUCAAUUUAUGCCUUGUCUUCCCACCACACACCACUGUGAAGAGAAGAUCUUGGCUCUGUCUUCUUGAUGACCUCCUCAUUCAGCAACGGGGUGCUCUGCUGACCGCCAGCUUCUGGUGACUGAGAUGCAGAGAGGAGGCCCCGUCAGUGUUCUCACAUCUUAGAUGGUAUAAAGGCAAGUAAUGGAUGUUAAAUACAGUGUUUCUUUUUCCAAAAUCUGCGUAUUGGCCUAUUCCCUCAGUUGCAUCAUUCCUUUCAAAGCAUUUUUUUUGUUCAACCUCAGACUGCUGGGUUUCCUACUGUUCAAAGAUUCUGAGAGUUGGGGGGAAGCAACAUUUUGUUUGAUCUAUAUUGGUUUAUCUUGUUUGCAACUAGGCACAGGAAAAAACACUACUUCCCACAGAGGCUUUCAUUGUCCCAUUUUCCAUAGUUUAGUCCCCAUUUCCCUUAGGAUCUGACUUCUAGCCAUAAUCAUCUGGGGUUAUAACUUGGCUGUUUCAGGCUGUAUUCCUUUAAUAUUUCUUAUUUAUUGUCAAACUUUGCGUAAGCAGUGGUACAAGCACAUCCUGCUCUGCAUACUCUCAUCAGAGCACUGGGAGAAGAGUCACAAACUCGGGUCCUGGCCCUGCUACCUGUUCACUCUCAGUUGUGUUGGCUCCAAGUAUUGUCCCUUGCGAGUGACAUAUAGCCCACUGUCGUGUCCAGGUCCCUAGCUUUGAAGGAGCAGUAACCUGCCCCUCCACCAACUAAGCUCAACCUAGGUGAAGGUCAGAUCUGUCAUGCAGAGCUAUUUAUAAUUAGAGUAAAGCUGCAAAGGAAGUGGUGGGCAGAACACUGGUGGGGAAGCUGGAGCUGACAGAGCUGAACCAGUUUUUGUAGCACUUGAGCUUUCCUGUAGGGGAAUUUUGCUUUGUGUUUGAACUCAGGAUAGGUCCAGCGGAGGUGUUGUUUAAUUCAGCAGAAACCAUAUAGAGAGGAGUGGGUUCCUUCACCCCAAAACGCUGUGCAACUCUACCUCUUCGACUGCACCCCUCCAUGCUGUGGACUCACCUCUGUGAUCCUCUCCCUUUACUCCAGCUCGCCCAGUUUCAGGCCUAGAAUAAUCCCUGUUGGCAGCCUCCUGUAGCACCGGAGUGCUGAGUGUUUCAGCCUGACUGCUAAAUCUUCACUUUCUGGAUAAGAAAACUGAUAUAUAGAAUGAUGAAAUUAUAUGGCUCCCUGUGCUUUGCAGAACUGCUAUUUACUGUUGCCUGGGCCCCUGUUGACUGAAAAGCUUAGGAGGGGCUCAGGAACUUUGUACAUUCAGGAUUCCUCUGAAUUUUGUUCUCACUGAUUUUAUUCAAUUAAUUAGUUUCCUCUGAAGAGUUGGACAGGCUUUCUUCAGCUUUGGUGCCGCACAUUAAUACGUAUGCAUAAUAUGGCUUUAAGAAAAGAUGAAUUGGUGAGUAGUCUGGAAACCUGAGGCACAUUGCCCUUUUGAGUAAUGAUUCUGCAUAUGGAAGGGGGAGGAAAAUAUUGCUGUAGGGCCUCUGUGACCUGUUCAUGGGUAAAUAAUUAUUUAGAAAACAUUGAUUUGGAAUGAAAAGUGAGCUCAGAGGCCUGACGGUUAUACAGCAGUCCACAGGGUUAAUCUGGGAAGAUUCUGAAGUCAGUCAAAAAGCAAAUUCAUCCCUGAACAAAACUGUCCUGGUUAAGUUUUUAUUUUGGGAAAUAGAGAGAAAAACAAAGCAAUGUUGAUUGCUGUAGGUGGAGAAAAGCAUCCUCCAGGCUUGUGACAUUUUUAAGACACAAGAUUUUGUACAUCAGAUGGAUCAAGCCCAAUGCUCUAUAUAUGCAUGUGAACAAUAUCCUUUUGAGUGACGAGUGCAUAAGCUUUGCUAGAGCUUCCAGCACAUGAAAGACUUUAAAAUGGACUCAUCUAAGUUUUUAUGGCAUGCUGCGUAAGCCAGCAAAGUGGGGUUGGAGGGUCAGGCAAGGCACACCUGGGAAGGCAGAAGUCUCCCAGUAAUCUUUAUUAUCUUUGAUGUCUCCCUUUCUCGGCUCCUAUUUCCCAAAUGGAAAAUGGGGAUAAUGCCAAGGUCCGAUGAACAGUGUCUGCUUUAUUUGUUCUCAGUUUAUAGGUUAGAUUUCUUUUUAAAAAGACAUAGUUGGCUCAGCUGCAGCUCUUGUGAGAGGAAAAUGGGUACUCCUACCCUUUAUAUCCGUGCAGUAGUGUCAAGGAGGAGGUGAUUUCACUGAAGAGGUAGGAUAUGGCAGACAGAGGGGAGCAGCCACUCAGUAAGAGAGGCCUCCAGUCCAGUGGGCAGGUUGGGAGGUAGCAGAGAAUCAAGAAGCAGUAUCACAAUCAAGUGUCUUUGGGAUGGGAAGAAGAAGCUUCAUAGGGACCAGAAGGGACUAUGCAUGGCUUGCUGCAGUCCAAAUAUUGACUGAAUUGAAUGAAACCAUGCUUGAACGCAUCCUUGUAAGGAUGCAGUGGGCAGGGAAAAACUGAUUUAUGUUAUUCAUUUUAUGGUGAUUGUGUUUGACCCAGCCAGUGCAGUUUACACUGCUUUGAGAAGUUAAGGAUUCUAAUUUAUAUUCUAGUAAAAUCCAGUUGGUUUAUGUUCAAAAGCCUUUCUUAUUUCUUUUGAGGGGCUCUGGAUAAUGGAGGUUUACCUGCCAAAUUGGGAUCUCAUAACACAAGGAUGCUUUUCUUUGCCUGAUGAUUUGGUGUUCUUGGAGUGAAAAGUACCAUAGAAGAGUGAAAUCAUAGUUAUUGAACUGCUGAAUACUCACUCAGGUCUAGAAGCCCAUUUUCUGCACUCUUGUGCAGCUUCUCCCUGCUGAUGAGAGCCUUGUCGAAUUCUGCAGAGAUUGUAAGAAGUUAGUCCUUGAAGGUAUGCUAUUCCCUGCUGAUACUGAAUACAAGCAAAAGCAACGAAGAUUCUGCUUGUCUUGGCUGAAAUGGAGACAUCUUCAGUCAAUUAAACCAUUAAAAUUAUCUUUUGUUCUUUGAUCCCUUUUUGUUCCCAUCUGUCCCUUUGUUAUAUCCUUUCUGAUGCUGAAGUGAAGGUUCUUUGGAGACAGGGCCACCUCUGCUUCUGUGCCUCUGGAGGUGGGCAGAUCACUGCAUGGUGCUGCUAUGGAAUGGUUUCCAUCAACUCCAGGUCCCAGUGGGGUGUAUAAUUGUCCAUAAAUGGAGAGGCAACAUUCCAGGCUUUACCCAAAAGAAACACACAAAAGAAAAUGUGCAAUAUAUGGUUUUCUUUCUUUUGAUCCCUUUCUCUGUAGAUGGUGCAUGUCAAAUUUAACUCAAAUAGUCCCAGUGAGAUCCAGUUUAUUAGCUGUAAUAAUUUAUAUGUCUCACAGACUUAAACCUCCCUUCUUGCCUAUUCCUGCAGAAGUCACUAUACUAAAUUCCCAAAAUAUAGUCUGAGCCUACGCAGAUAUCAAGAUGCCAGUGACUGGAAUAUGUUGUUUAAGUCAGUGGGAAUUCUGGAAGUAUCUUAUCACCCAAAGUCAGCUAUUUAUUGUAAGUAGUAAUAUUCAUUCUUAUUAAUUAUGGCUAUAGAAUUAUGUUGGGCCUUCUCCAUUUUUUAAUGUUUUAGGCAGUGCUCCAUGACGCUUUGACCAACAUUUAGAAAAAUGGCCUGUAUGUCUUUUUCUCAGAGCAAAUAAAUUAAUUUUUAUGGAAUGGAAGUGGAGGGUAGAACUGAAUAAGCUAGUUGCAAUGGAAAUAGUCUUUCAAAACAUUGGAAAAGUUAGACACUCGCAAUAGCAUGUGGUCUAAUUUCCUGAACCUGUGAGAAAGGACAUGAAUUAUUAUAUAGCUUACUGCUGAACACAUGCUUACUUCCUCAUGUAUGUAGAAGGCAAGGGUGGAAUAUGUGCGUGAGUCAGGUCCAGCAUUUCUCAUUCUGUCUCUUACAAGUUCAAGACCAAAGCAGACACUGUGAAUGACAAAAAGGCAUGCCAAGAAGUGAGCCAGAGCAACUUGGAAUAGUCUAGAUGCUUCUAAACUGGACUGGACAAGAAGAAAAGUAACUUUUGCUAGCAGAUACCUUUCUAAUUUGUCAAUAGCUUUUAUUUUGUUUUAAAAAAUCUUGUCAGAAGCUUUGGAGUUAUAUUUUUUUUUCAGUCUGUACCAAAAUGGUCAAUGCUGUAAUUUUGUGUAAGAACCAUACUCAUCCGCUGCUCCUCUGGCAUGGCAGUCUUUCUCCAGUAUUCCUGUAUGUUUUUCACAACA